GCGCGGUGAAGGUUAUACCAUCUUUCGGCUGAGUCGUUGUGAUGCCAAUUAUAAAUCUGCUGAGCGUUU
rnacentral:snoRNA from 1 species